rnacentral:rRNA from 1 species
GAUGAACGCUGGCGGCGUGCCUAAUACAUGCAAGUCGAGCGAACAGACGAGGAGCUUGCUCCUCUGACGUUAGCGGCGGACGGGUGAGUAACACGUGGAUAACCUACCUAUAAGACUGGGAUAACUUCGGGAAACCGGAGCUCAUACCGGAUAAUAUAUUGAACCGCAUGGUUCAAUAGUGAAAGACGGUUUUGCUGUCACUUAUACAUGGAUCCGCGCCGCAUUAGCUAGUUGGUAAGGUAACGGCUUACCAAGGCAACGAUGCGUAGCCGACCUGAGAGGGUGAACGGCCACACUGGAACUGAGACACGGUCCAGACUCCUACGGGAGGCAGCAGUAGGGAAUCUUCCGAAAUGGGCGAAAGCCUGACGGAGCAACGCCGCGUGAGUGAUGAAGGUCUUCGGAUCGUAAAACUCUGUUAUUAGGGAAGAACAAAUGUGUAAGUAACUAUGCACGUCUUGACGGUACCUAAUCAGAAAGCCACGGCUAACUACGUG